rnacentral:rRNA from 1 species
AACGAACGCUGGCGGCAUGCCUAACACAUGCAAGUCGAACGAGAUCUUCGGGUCUAGUGGCGCACGGGUGCGUAACGCGUGGGAAUCUGCCCUUUGGUUCGGAAUAACAGUUGGAAACGACUGCUAAUACCGGAUGAUGACGAAAGUCCAAAGAUUUAUCGCCAGAGGAUGAGCCCGCGUAGGAUUAGCUAGUUGGUGUGGUAAAGGCGCACCAAGGCGACGAUCCUUAGCUGGUCUGAGAGGAUGAUCAGCCACACUGGGACUGAGACAUGGCCCAGACUCCUACGGGAGGCAGCAGUGGGGAAUAUUGGACAAUGGGCGAAAGCCUGAUCCAGCAAUGCCGCGUGAGUGAUGAAGGCCUUAGGGUUGUAAAGCUCUUCUACCCGGGAUGAUAAUGACAGUACCGGGAGAAUAAGCUCCGGCUAACUCCGUGCCAGCAGCCGCCGUAA